GUAAUCGCGGAUCAGCACGCCGCGGUGAAUACGUUCCCGGGCCUUGUACACACCGCCCGUCACACCAUGGAAGUCUGCAAUGCCCGAAGCCGGUGGCCUAACCACUUAUGUGGAAGGAGCCGUCUAAGGCAGGGCAGAUGACUGGGGUGAAGUCGUAACAAGGUAAC
rnacentral:rRNA from 1 species